CUUGGCAUAUUGCUAGCUCUGAAUUGAAGCCAUGAGAGAGGGUUUUUGAGGUUGGAAUUGAGUUUUAUUCCAGGAAAUUCGUGUAUAUUAUGGUUAUGCAAAACUGAGGUUGAGCAAAAGUUGAAUCUGCCCUGUUUUGAUGAAUUUAUUCAAGAAAAUAACUCGAAGUGUUUUGGCCUACAAAAUUCGUGGACUGAACUGGUGUCUGAUUCGCGUCUGUGCAGACAGCACAGACACGUGUUGGAAAAAUGGGUAUAACUUCUUGCUCGGGUGACGAGUCGGUGAAUCAAGGAGCACCGAAACCAUAAGUUGUACUUUCUUUUGGAGUACAAGUUUUGCAGGCGUUGUAGAUAUCCACUGCUGAUUGUCGUGUGGUUGUACCCUCGCUUAGGGUAGCGUGUCGGGAAGGCUGGACGAGUUUUGGUGAAAUUUUUUAGAUAGGGAUGUAGUUGCAGCCUAUGUUAAUAUCUAUAUAGUUUAACGUUUCCUUAAGACUUCCAUUGUGUUU